rnacentral:rRNA from 1 species
UACAGAGGUCCCGAGCGUUGUUCGGAUUCAUUGGGCGUAAAGGGUGCGUAGGCGGCGGGGCAAGUCUGAUGUGAAAUCCCGGGGCUCAACCCCGGAACUGCAUUGGAUACUGCCUUGCUAGAGUACUGGAGAGGGAACUGGAAUUUACGGUGUAGCAGUGAAAUGCGUAGAGAUCGUAAGGAAGGCCAGUGGCGAAGGCGGGUCUCUGGACAGUUCCUGACGGCUGAGGCACGGAAGGUCAGGGGAGCAAACGGG